GGCAGCCAGAGUGGCCACCACUGUUCUCUGCAGCAGAAGACCCCUUGCUGCCAGACUGUAGACUGCAGUACAACUGUGAGAUUUCUAGGUUAAAGCUCAGAAUGAGCCCAGCAAUGGGAGGCAGGGCAGGCAAGGAAUGACAUACUUUUCCUUACCACAGAAAGGACAUUUCUGUGACACAUCGGAAUGAAAUGAAAUUAUCAUGCAAAGAAUGGCAAAGUAUUGGACAAAAAUGGGAAAAAUCCUAAAAAGUAAAAGGUUUGGGCAUGCUUAAAAUAACUCCUAAAAAUGGCAACUUUAUUUAUUUAUUUAUUUAUUUAAUUUUACAUUUGUAUCCCACUCUUCGUCCAUGGAGCUCAGAGUGGUGUACAUGGUUAUGUUUUUCCUCACCACAACCGUCAGGUAGGUUAGGCUGAGAGAGAAGUAAC